GUAAAUUUAGUCCUGCUGGAAACAUGGAGGCAGGCUAUGGAGGCUGAACUAUUUCCUAUUGGUGUUUAAGUUCCUUUGUGCCUACUGAACAGCUUCGCCUAAAAUCAGUGACAACCUGCCCGCUCCCAUGCCUGUUCGUCAUAAAUGUGUGAAAACAGAGCCCAGCAUAGUUAGUAAUUAUCCCUUCAUUAUGCCAAUAUGCUUCUGAAAGCAUAAUCAUGAUCAAAAGACACGUGAUUCUCCUCUUACUGCUUUCUGUUUGCAGGUUUCAACUUUUUUUAUUUCUCUUCCUGCUAAUAAGGAUUUUUUAAUUUGAAAAUCAACAACAGCUUUUGAAGCCUGUGCCUGUCCUCAUGGUAAUGAUAAAUCUCCCCUGACCUGAGGACUCAGACUCUGCAGCAGUGAAUAGCAGCUGAAAUAACAGGCACGUGGAAAUGCUGCAGAGAAGGACACACAAGAAGCAUCUACAGCUCCAGGGGACUCGCGUGGAUCAUUUGGUGCCCAUUGCAGCACAUUCAAAGAAGCUCUGUGACGCACACCUGAACACUGGAGGGGCAGCAGGAGUUGGUUCAAGGCAGUAAGCUCAAGCUCAGUGUGUGUCCUUCAGCUGGACACUGUAGAGCUUCCCUAGAAAUACCUAACUGGCCUCUGAGUUGGAAGGCAGAAAACAAGAAUGCACCUUUCCUGCUUCCUACAGAGAAGGCUGCCAAGAGCCACUCUUGAUCCACACAUCCAUCCAGUGUAAACUAAUGCCUUCUUGUUAAUCUUACGCUAAGACUGAUCUCAAAUCUUGUCUGUGCCUGUAUGGCCUUUAUUUUCAUUCCUUUCAUUCCUGUCUCUCCUCUCUGUUUGUAGGGAUUAACUGCCCUUGGCAGUCUCCUCCUAUCACUACCUAUCCAGAAGUAUUCACAUUCUUCCUCAUAACCGUACUGACACAGUCUUCUGCCCCAUCAGUUCCAGACAACCAGUCAAUACAGCACUGAUCAGAGGACUGGAGCACCUCUCCUAUGAAGAAAGGCUCAGGGAGUUGGACUUGUAUAGCCUGGAGAAGAGAAUGCUCCAGGGAGACCUCAUGACAGCCUUCCAGUACUUGAGAUGGAGUUUACAAGCAGAAAGGGGACUGACUUUUUACAUAGUCUGAUAGAAAUGGGACAAGAAGGACUGGCUUUAAACUAUAAGAGGAGAGAUUUAAGCUACACGUUAGGCAGAAAUUCUUUACUCAGAGGGCGGUGAGGCCCUGGCACUGCUGCCCAGAGCUGUGGGCACCCCAUCCCUGGAGGCGCUCCAGGCCAGGUUGGAUGGACCCUGGGCAGCCUGAGCUGGUGGGGGGCAGCCCUGCCCACGGCUGGGGUUGGGGCUGGGUGGGCUUUGAGGUCUCUUCCAAUCCAUAACAUUCUGCGAUUCUAUAAUUUUUGAGAAAUAAAUAACAUUUCAAAUGUUAGUAAAACUGUGAUGAUCCUGAGAAGAUAUUUGUUUAGCACACUGCACAGAGAAUUCAGGAAGCUGAGAUUUCCCAGUUUAGGAAACGGGAAACUGUUUUACAUAAUAAACUGUCUUUUUGGCAGAACUGAUUAGAACAUACCUGCACUAGUUAUACUACAACGAGCAUGUGUAUUGGCAGCUGUAGCCGAGACCUUGAAAAGGACAAAGGGCACUUGUAAUUUAUGUCCAGCUUACUAAGUAAGGCAGCACUGCAUUUAGGAAUGGUUAAUUUGUGUGCCAUUUUACAAGGCAGCAACACCAGUGGCUGACCGUCACCUUCAAGGGAGAAAGCUACGACUCCCGUACAAAGAUACUGCUGCUGGAGGGGAGAGCAUCCAUUUACCAGUGCUGGAGGACCAACCACCCCAGUGCAGAACGAUGAUCAAUGGCCACAGUAGCUUAACAUUGACCCCAUGAAGGCUCCUCAGUCCUCCGGCAAAUUGAUUUGACUUUCAAGGACAAUUAAACUGUUUGCGCCUCCACUCACUCUGUUUGGUGCUGUUAAAUUCCACUGCAAAAUGAGUCUCAUUUGAAAGAGUGGCAUUGAUAACAGAUAGGUUUUUGUAAUUACAUCCUCUUAUCUCCUUUGAUAAGUUAACAGUGAGCAACCACAAUAGUUAGCAAUGCAGAUAGCGUGCAGCUACUGACAUCUGAGUUAGCAGAAGGAGAUGAGUUUACACAUCAGAGCUGAAGUUUCAGGCUUCCAGAAAAUUGAAGUCAGCCCCUUCGUGCAUAGAGAUCAGCAGCCCCAUAGCACAUCUGCCACCUCUCACUGGUAACACAGCCCAUCCUUCUCAGCUCCCCACACCACUCGAAGGCAGGACACAGGCAGAGCGAUCCUGCUCAGAUCCUGCUUUGCUGCAUCGCACUGCUGCAGUCUGUCAGCCAGAAAAUCUCCCUUUGGGCAGCCACAGACCUCUGCAGCAAGCCUGAAUCCAAGCCCAGAGCUCUCGCACUGCAGCUCCUCUGGCACAGAAAUCCCCACCAUGCUCAGACUAAUCUGAAGGAAUUACUGACAAAACUGAACACCCCCCUCCACACACACGGACAUUUCCAAACCUCUCCAGGUACUACUUUGCGUAUUUCUUCCACUUUGCCUUUUCUCACUGAAAUGCAGAAGAAUACAUCUUUGUUCCAAAAAAAUCAAAAAUCAAAUCAGAUUAAAACAAACAAACAAACAAACAAAUAAAAGCAAACCACUCCCUUAGGAAGAAGCCAUACCCAAACCAGGCAACCCAUUGCAUAUGCAUCUCCCCCAGAGGGAGGAUGCGAAAGCAAACAAAACGUGGCAGAUGUUAGUCCUGGUGCUCGGUGUGCUGCUGGAAGGUGCACACAUCCCAUAGCCAUGAGAGAGCAGAAGCCUGUAGCACAGCAGCCAAACACCUCCGGAUGAGCUCUUCACAGUGCACUGUUUUGAAAUACUUCAAAAUGAUGUAGCACACAAAUAAUUUAAGCAAGACUGGAUUUUCCUAAGCAAGACAGCAUGAUAAAACUUUGUGAUACACAGCUGAAAUUACACUACCUGAAAAGACAAUACCUCAUCUGAAACACUGAGUAUCAAAAUAAUUUGAUUUUUUUUUUCCCCCAUCAGAAUAUGGAGAAGAUAAAGCACAUUAAAGCAAAGUGUCUUCAGAGUGAAAUAUCUUGCAAAUUCAGAGCUUUGGAAAUGUGAGUUGUCUUCAUUUUUUCAAUCUUUGUGAGUUAACUAAAUAACUGCCUAAGCUUGUUUUUAAGCAGCAGAGACAGCCUUGUGGUUAAAUGCUCGGAUGUCAUUAAAAAUACCCUAAGUGACUAAAAAGGAAAAAUCCAAACCUGGCUCACAGUUUUUGCGUGUUGCAUUAUUAUCACCAUUUGACUUUAGGAUGUCGGAGUUUGCUUUAUCAGGAUUUGACAGCAUCUACCUCACUAAGCAGUAGCUCAAACACACAAAGAUGUGAUAAAAACACCAAAACGUCAUGCCUGUGAGCUUCAAAGCAGUACAAGGCUCAACUAAUUUAACACCUUUUUACUCUUAAGGGAACUGCUCACCCACUGAUUCAUCUUCUGUUCACUCAGGAUCGUCCUGUCACUACUGCUCGGAACACCAGUAUGUUUCUCUCUG
ensembl:lncRNA